GACGAACGCUGGCGGCGUGCUUAACACAUGCAAGUCGAACGGAAAGGCCCUGCUUUUGUGGGGUGCUCGAGUGGCGAACGGGUGAGUAACACGUGAGUAACCUGCCCUUGACUUUGGGAUAACUUCAGGAAACUGGGGCUAAUACCGGAUAGGAGCUCCUGCUGCAUGGUGGGGGUUGGAAAGUUUCGGCGGUUGGGGAUGGACUCGCGGCUUAUCAGCUUGUUGGUGGGGUAGUGGCUUACCAAGGCUUUGACGGGUAGCCGGCCUGAGAGGGUGACCGGCCACAUUGGGACUGAGGUACGGCCCAGACUCCUACGGGAGGCAGCAGUGGGGAAUAUUGCACAAUGGGCGGGAGCCUGAUGCAGCAACGCCGCGUGCGGGAUGACGGCCUUCGUGUUGUAAACCGCUUUCGCCUGUGACGAAGCGUGAGUGACGGUAAUGGGUAAAGAAGCACCGGCUAACUACGUG
rnacentral:rRNA from 1 species